GACGAACGCUGGCGGCGUGCUUAACACAUGCAAGUCGAACGAUGAAGCCGGAGCUUGCUCUGGUGAAUUAGUGGCGAACGGGUGAGUAACACGUGAGUAACCUGCCCUUGACUCUGGGAUAACUGCGGGAAACUGUAGCUAAUACCGGAUACGACCCUCGGAGGCAUCUCCUGGGGGUGGAAAGAAUUUCGGUCCAGGAUGGACUCGCGGCCUAUCAGCUAGUUGGUGAGGUAAAGGCUCACCAAGGCGACGACGGGUAGCCGGCCUGAGAGGGUGACCGGCCACACUGGGACUGGGACACGGCCCAGACUCCUACGGGCGGCAGCAGUGGGGAAUAUUGCACAAUGGGCGCAAGCCUGAUGCAGCAACGCCGCGUGAGGGAUGACGGCCUUCGGGUUGUAAACCUCUUUUAGCAGGGAAGAAGCGAAAGUGACGGUACCUGCAGAAAAAGCACCGGCUAACUACGUGCCAGCCGCCGCCGUAA
rnacentral:rRNA from 1 species